GGAUUGUGGCUCAGCGGUGGAGCGCUCGCCUAGCAUGUGUGAGGUCCCGGGUUGGAUCCUCAGCAUCA
rnacentral:tRNA from 1 species